UGGGAAAAGAAAAAAAUGACAUAUAUCCCCCGACCUUUUGAUUUCCAACAGUCUACCGAGAAGCCAAGAUUAUUUGCAGGGAAAGGAAAGGAGUCAAAUGAUUUUGCCAGUAACCCCCAAAACAUAUCUACAGCCAAGGGGAGAAGUGUUUCAAGACAGAGGUGCUCAAUGGUAUCAAAUGCUGCCAAGAGACCAAGUAAUAUACGCACUGAAGUGUCUACUAGAUUUAGCUAUAUGAAAUUUUAAGGUAGGAUACUUAAGCCACACUGAAGCAAGGUGACAAAACAAAUAGCUAAAAUGUCUCAUGAUGCUUGAGUUUCCAUUCAUCCUGGUGUUCAAGAGAAACCCUUGCAUCAUGGAAGCUCAAUUUGGAUAGGACUUUCUCAGCUGAAUACUGUCAUCUGCCAGACUUCAGGCAAGAACCCAGAGGAGAUGAAACCCAAGACAAGACAAAAUAAGCCAAGGAAUACCAGACAAAGUUAUGAAAGG